GAGAUUUUCGCAAUGCCCGAAAGGGUGACCGAGCGACGCCGCGUGUGGGAUGAAGGCCUUCGGGUUGUAAACCACUGUCAGUCGGGAAGAAUACCUGGAUGGUGAAUCCAGGGGCGACGGUACCGGCAGAGGAAGCCACGGCUAACUCCGUGCCAGCAGCCGCGGUAAUACGGAGGUGGCAAGCGUUGUUCGGAAUUACUGGGCGUAAAGGGCACGUAGGCGGCUUGGCAAGUCCGUCGUGAAACCCCCGGGCUCACCCCGGGGCAUGCGUCGGAUACUGCCGGGCUUGAGUCCAGGAGAGGAGGGUGGAAUUCCCGGUGUAGCGGUGAAAUGCGUAGAUAUCGGGAAGAACACCAGUGGCGAAGGCGGCCCUCUGGCCUGUGACUGACGCUGAGGUGCGAAAGCCAGGGGAGCAAACAGGAUUAGAUACCCUGGUAGUCCUGGCCGUAAACGAUGGGCACUAAGUAGAGGGGUUA
rnacentral:rRNA from 1 species